rnacentral:tRNA from 1 species
AAAGGUAUUGCUCAGUGGUAGAGCACAUGCUCAGUAUGCACAAGGUCCUGGGUUCAAUCCCCAGUGCCUCCA